CCACAUUCCCUUCACUCUCCCUUCUCUUCGGUUCGGUCCCAGCCACGCACCACCGAUUUCUCUCUUUCUACUCGGCACGUUCUAUCUCUCCACGGUAAGAUCGUUCAUUCUCUCUCUCCUAGCUAAGAUCAAUUUCUCUCUCUCUCAGUUGAGUUCAACAAUGGUCUGGUAUUUUAUUUUUUUUGGCCCUAAGCCGAUUGGGUUUGGGUUUUAAAUGACUACUUAUGUGUUUGUUUAUGUGUUUGUGGAGGUUUUAGAUUCAAAUUUCUGGGUGAUGGGUGUUUUGAUUGGGUGUGGGUGUGGCAUUGUAGGCUUCUUCGCUAUAGGUGGUAUGUUUGCAUUUUGCGGUUUGCACAAGAACCUAGCACCUACCUUCACAACCCUCCAAAGAAUCAUUCCUAGAGGAUUGAGGGUUGAAGCAUUGAUAAAAUUUAUUGUUGAACAGGUAGAUGCUGCUUUGGUGCUCCUUGGAAACAUGAUUUCAUAUAUGAGUUCCAGGUUGCUUGAUUCUCAAACCCCAUAUACCACAUUACAUGUUAUAUGUUCUUAUUGCGUGUACUUCUUGUGUGCAGGAUGAUGUUCAUAUUUUUAAUAAAGUAUUACUUAUUCAAAAAAAAAAAAAAAAUCAAGUUUAGCUCCCAAACAAGCAUCUAGAGAUUAUUACUACUUCUACCUCAGUCUAUGGAGUGGCUUUUCUUUGGGCCUAUUACUAUAUAUCCCCUGUUUUUAUUCAGUUUCUCUCUUGCCUAAUAUCGAAGUCUAUGCAAAGUCUUCUGCAGUGGUAUGGGUCUAGAUUUUCAAGUUUUGGUUUUAAAAAGGGGAAAGCUGGCAGAACAAUAUCAUAGAUUGUGUAAAGUAUGUGGUCUCCAUUCCAAUAUUUUGCUAAGUUGUGGUAUGACAUAUGUUUAUCAUCUUGAUGCAAGCUCUUAUAAGCUACUUUAUCAUUAGUCUAUUCCCUGUUAAUCACCUAGUGAGGGUUUGAAAUUUCCCUUGCAAUUCUUGUACCUCUGUCUUGUCUUGUUCAAUUUGAAUAUGGUAAUGCCUCUUAUUUUUGUGGGACAGGUAAAUUACAAUUUACAAAGUUUGUGACCUUAAGAUGGUUGGUGAUAAACUCUCUUUUUCUUUCCUUUUGUUUUUCUCUCCUUCGAGCAUAAGAAUUUUAAGGGUACAUUUUUGUUGUUUUAAUUCUGUCUGAUACAUGGGUUUGUGACUGAAUUUCCUAGGUUUCAUUUUUGAGAAGGAUUAUAAUUCCCAGUCUUGCAAAGUGAGGGUUUGAAAUUUCUAUUGCAUUUCUUCUCCCAUUAUCUUGCUGUCUUAUUUUAUUUUUGUUCAUUAUGUGUUGUUAACCUCAAUGGUGAAUUCACAGCUUAAUCUGGCAAUGCCUCUUAUUAGUGUGUAGGCCAGAAUUAUAAGAAAACCCUUUUUUUUUUUUUUUGGUCUUAAAUUUCACAUUUUUCUUAUAGGUCUUUUAAUAUAGCGUUCCCACUAAUGUGAUACUAUACUAUUCUAUGAAGGCAUUUGUUUCUGUGAAGUUGGGUUUUCUAGAGCGAGUUGGCUGGCUGGUAAUGAUGGGUUUAAAAAUUAAAUUUACAUUGUAGACAAAAAUUGGUGCCUGCAUUGUGUGUUUUUCCGGCUUCAUUUGUUCGGUUUUAAUUAAUCCCUGCACUACUUGGCAUUUUUGUUGUGGUUCCUUUUUUUACUGUUGUCUACUUGCACUUCUUACUACUUUUAAGAACCUAAGGUCAUCAAUAUCAUCGUUGGGCAUUCAUAUAGGAUAAAAGCAGCCAGCUUCAAAUAUAGUUGUUUUGAAUGCGAAAAAAGUAUAAGAUUUACCUUGUAAGGAAGAUUUCUUCUUAUCAUUAUUGCAACUAUUGCAAUUCUGGGUGCAUAUGAAAAAUUUUCAUUGGAUUUUUUUUCCUGGUGCCAGUCAGCUUAAGUGGUGGAAUUUGGUUUGUUGAUAAGCUUUCUUUUUCCCCCUUGUUUUCUUUAUUCUCUCCUACAAUCAAAUGAAUUAUAAGGAUAUUUUUCCACUUGUUCUAAUUCUUUCCAAUACUUAUGACAUGUAUGCAUUUCUUAGGAUUCAGUUUCCUUGAGGAUUAUAAAUUCCAGUCACUCAACAAGGGUUUGGGAAUUCCAUUGGAAUUCUUGUCCCCUUGUCCUGCUUUCUUUUUCAAUUUUUUGUCAUUCUGUUUUGGCAAGCUUAUAUCUCAUUCGUAUGUAGUAUGGCUUUUAUUGGUGUGGGCAGAUCACAUGCCGUAGUGAUUGGUAUGAGUUGGGAUUUCUGGGAAUUAAAUGGAGAAUUUGCAUCAUAAUUUGUAAUCUUAGGUUAUUGCCUUAUGAGGGACAUGUCUUGGACUGCUAUUUCCAUCUAGCACUGAUUCUCUUUCGUUUUGUUGGGGAAAUCUCAUUAAUACUUUAGUGUAGAAUAAAUGCAACAGUCACAAAUUGCCUAGUCACAAAUUUGGGCAUACUAGCUAUUAAGUGGUCUGAUGUGAUGUUUCUUGAGUUCCUAUACUUUUGUUUUUUGUUUGUUUGGGCCCCCUUUAUUCUUUCUAUUUUUUCAGGUGAUCUCUCUGUUUUUCUCUUAUUGCUUUUGAAGUAUAAGUUUUAACUUGCAGAGAGGAGAGAUGUUCUGUUGUUUUGCUACUUCUGCAAUUCCAAGUGCAUGUCUCAAUCCUAACAUAUCUGUAGGAAGCAGAUUAUUUUUUGGGCUGGGUGAAGUUCGAUUUGGCGAGAAGCUCACUUUUCUUCCUGUUUUUAUAACUCUCUCCUACAAUUUUUGAGAAUUAUGGGGAUAAUGUUUUGCUUGUUUAUUUUCUUUCUAAUACUAGGGCAUGUGAUUGUUUUUUCUUACAACAGGAGAAUUGGGUAUGAGCGAGUUAAUAAAGGAAAGCAAAGGGAAAAAGUGCAGCUAGGGCCUAGGCUUUAACUUUGGUUUCCUAGAGGAUUUGAAACUUCCAUUGCAAUUUGAGGGUGGUAAUCCUUUGAUUAAUAAAGAUCAUGAUGACUUUUCUUUACUUAAGGUUGAUUUGGUUUUGUUGUUUCUCAUUGAAACAUGCUUUUUAGUAGUGUUAAUGUAAUUUAAAGUUACCCUGAACUAUGUAGUUGCAAUUCUUUGUUUUUUAGUUGGCUCACGUGGGAAGUCAAUGCCUAUGCCACCAAGGGUGUGAGAUGUACAUCUGUCUCCUUGUCUUUGUUUCUGUUGAUGUCUUUUUGGCUGUAAGUGGAACUGGUCAUCCUAUGUUAGUAGCACCAUAUCCAAUUUGGUUUGCAACUUAUUGUGUUUUUGCAGGAAGCAGGAUUUUUUAAACAAGAAAUUUUAUUCUUUUUUGGAUAAUUUCUGGACCACAAUAUCAGUGAUCUAUGGCUCUUUGACAAAUUCCAUGAACCUGGGGAGAGUAACAUGCUGUUAGGAGUAACAUAAGAAGGAACAAGAAAGUUUUGUUUUUGGAUAAUUGCUGGACUACAUUAUCACUGAUCUAUGGGACUUAAGACAAAUUUCAUAAACCCAGGGAGAGUAAUGCCCUAUUAGAAGUAACGUAGAAAAUGGUAUGCAGAGUAACAAUCAUUUUUCCGAGAGAGUGAAUCUAUAAAUUAUUGUUUCCUUGCUGGCAUAGAAGCUUCGUAGUUUGCUCAGACCAAGCUGACUCCUUCUGGGAAUGUGCAAAAAUACUUUGAAAAAACUUUAGGUAUGUUUCUUCCUAAGAAAUUUUUUAAAGGCAUUUCUACAACAUGAGCAGGUUUAAGAUUAGAGAAUUCUAAGUCUCCAGUCGUGACGAAACAAGUAGGGAAGUUCAAUGCAUUUGCAAUAAUUCUUGAUAGAUAUGAAACCUUGUCUUGUUUCAUCUAGCUGUGGAAUGUGGAACUUCAAAGUGACUAAGUGAGUGGUGGCACUGUGGCAGUCAUCAACCAAUGUUUGAUUAAGCUGAAGUAUACAGUGCUUGAGGUUCAAAUGAAAACAAUGCCUUGCUUUAUAACAUUGACAUGGGAAGCUGAGUUUCUUUAAAAUGUCUUAAUUCUUAGAUCAAUGCCUCCACUGUUUCAUCACUGGUUUAAGAAGGUCUGCUAGAGAAACAUAACCGACUGGAAAGAUGAUUCCUAGCCCUCCAAGUACUCAGAGAUCUCAAAAGGGAAGAAACGGAGAAGAGCGUGAAACAGUUGACAUUGGAAACCAUAGAAGCUGUUCAAAAUGAAAAAGAGGAUGAAUCUGCAUCGGUGAAACAAAAGUGAAUGGAUGCUUGUGCUUAUAUGACAUUCUUCAAAAACCAACCAAAGAAGGUUAUUGCUGCAGCUCAUCAUGAGGAGCAUAAUAGGCUGGAUAAGGGAAGUUCUCCCUAGGUGGUAGCAGCAAUUAUGGGGGUGAUAAAUGCAGUUUAUGGAGUGAGUAGGAACUUAGAGAAGAAUCUUUUGGGAGAUCUUUGGUGGGAUCAGAUUCUAGCACAUAUAAAUUUACAAAGGAAACAUUAGAAGAUAAUAGGAGUGGAAUUGUCCCACCCAAGCCAGAGGCAUAGCUCUGCGGACAAAACUUUCUGGUCUGAUGAUGGAGAUAGCAUGGAAGUUUCGCAGAGUGCUAAGCCUCUGAAGCGGAGAGUUCCACGCCCAUCCGAGAUUGAUGAAGGAAGACCUACAUCGGUCCGACGCCGGCGAAGAGCCCAGGUGAGAAAUCCAUCUAUCGGAAGACAACACCAGUUCGACGCCAGCGUCUUCUCUUCCUUCCAGAAACCCAUUUAACCCUUUUCCCUCCGUCCCUCGAGCUUCGACCCAUGACACAUCUCUUCCCAUAAAUAUAUGGGAAUGUAAAUUUUUCGAUUAGCAAGAUUUUUGGUUUUAUCUGCAAAUGGAUGUCAUAUUACCCAGUACUGAAGUGCCCAUAAUUUAAUUGUUUCAGUUAACCAUUGAAAGUGUUCAGAAGGCUGGCAAUGGUUGCUCAGAAACUUUGCAAAGGAAGGCAGAUUCAUUCAUACUUUCAUUAUGGAAAAGUUUGCCAUUAUAAAAUUCGUAACAUAAGCCCCCGAGAAAAAAAGACCACACUCACACCAAGCCAAGGUUUGAUCAGAGAAACACAGAGAGAGAAAGAGAACAGGUUUUUCAAAUUCUUCAAAGUCCAAGGGGGAAAAAGAUUCAAGAAGAAAUGGGAAAUUCAGUAGCAUUUGAAGAUUACAAGUUUCUUUAUCACCUCAAUUACUGGUUUCUUAUUUGUUCUAUGGGUUAACUUGUUACAGUACUUCUCUGCAAAGCUAAAAUGGUGAAAAGUUGAGAGCUUUGAAGUUUGAUGAGUCGAUGCAUGAGAGUGAUUAGCUUCUACCUAGCGAUUGAAGAAGAGAUCAUCUUACUUUUCGAGAUGAUGUAUAUUUCCUAUGUUUGUGUCUUUGCUUCAGCCUUCUCCGAUUUUCGAAGAAAGUUGUUUGAUUUGAAUGUUGAUGACAAAUAUUUGUGGGCACAAGCUUUGACCGGUUUGCAAACUAGCAUUAAUAGCGAAAUUAGAAAUUUAUAUUCAACUGGAAGAUUUACAGUUUUGAAAGAGCUCGAAGCAGUUAAUACAAGUGUAAAGAAAUUGUAUCCCAUGAUCCAAGAUGGUGUGGACUUUCAGAGGGACUAGAUCUUCGUACAAACCAAUAUGAUGGCUUUUUUCAUGUAGUUUUAAUUGGGCGUGAUGCUUUGCUCUAUAAUGUUAGACAGAGUAGUAGUGUCUCUGACCCAAAGCUAGGUUGCAAAGUAGUAGAAAGAGUACAAUCUUAAUUAUUGGGGAUAGCUAAAAUUUGUUUAGGGCUUCAUGUAGAUUCUUUUGUAUUUGAUAUUAUUCUAUUGAUUCGUUUCUAUUUGAUAUUA